CUUUUUGACUCGGAUUGGCUGUUGCUGUGUUGCAUUGCUCAGCAUUUACAUAAAAUAGACCUCUGGUCUAUUCUGGCCCCGCCUAGCUGGCAACAUAAGGACUGUUGUCUCUUGUCGCUGUAAAACAGCCGCUCUGAUUGAAAUGAACGGCAGCUUGUCUCUUUGCCUCUCCUUCACUUAUAGUUAG